AUCAAUGUAGCUGGUGAAGCAUUUGAUUUUUAAUCAGGAGACUAAAGUGCAAGCUUUGUGUUGGUG
rnacentral:tRNA from 1 species